UGACCUCCCUGUAUCUCACCUAAGCCCAGCUACACUAAGGAAGACAAUAUAUGUUUUUUCUUUUGCUUUUGAUUCAUCUAGGCCAAAUCUAUAAACAACUUGUCGUUAGUUUUCUUUUUUCCUUUUGACACAACAAUUCUGAUUUACAUUUGGCAAGCACACUGAAUCAAACAGAGCCAAAACAAAAGGAAUACACCUAGAGCACACACGUGAUUUAUCAUUGGUCGCCAGCUCAUGCACGCGUCCCCUCUUAGUUAAUCAUGUCUAUUGGGAAGCUGUGUUUGAAUUGAUCCUGAAAACAUUUCUUAAGGUAUUGGCUCCAUAGAUCGGGUAAUUUUAUACCACGUAUGCCAAGCUAUCAACACACACCUCUAGAAAAACUAAUAAUGUAGCCGUCAUACGUGGCACCUCUUUUAUUUGUCUAAGUUCGAGAUUAAUACCAACAGUCACAUUAAGUGAUUUCUUACAUGGAUUACUUAGCCAGUCAACUAUCUCUAGUUUUGAUACAAAUAAAUACACAUUCAAUUACCCAGAAUAUAACCAUAUGAAAAAUGCUAGAUGACAACUCGAGUAAGUAGCAUAAAACUACCAUAAUUCAGGCUAGUGUUCCAAAUAAUCUACCACCUUUUGAAAUAUUUUAAAAACCUACAACAAAGUGGGUUCGUUGUUUCAAAAAAACUACCAUGUUGCACAGAUGACUAUGUUGGUUAGCUUUAAGCAUGAUUAUGACAGCUUAGAUCCACUCGUCAGGUUUGACAUGACAUAAAAGUCAACACACUGAGCUUUGACCAUUGAAAGGUUUUGAUAAGUAGGGCAUAUAUAUUUUUUAAAGCAAUCGGGCCGCUAUGAUUUUUUUUUCAAAAACAAUUUGGUCAUGCAAAUCCUAGGGUCGUGCAACACGAUCACGCUUGGCUCGUCACCGGAGCCGACGAAGGGCACCUGUGGGCGUCAUCCUUGACCCACGGCAUGGGUCCUGUUCAGCCCCUGCCGGCAAGCUCAUCCCCGCCUCGGCAUGCAUACCACGAGCUCGAGUUGGAAGGGAGCACGGGAGAUUUGGGUCCAUGGUGAGGUGGAGUGGCAUAACUUGGAGGGCACUAGCGAGCAGCUCCCUACUGGCUGCGCACAUGUCAUGGCUUACUGGUCGGCUCCAGCCAGUGCAGUAGCUACAAUAUUAGUACACCCCGGAACACGCUCCUACUAUAAUAUGCACUAUCGCUAUAGUCGAGCUACAGUGUGCGACUGUAGCUACAGUCAACCAAGGUUUUUCCCUGCACGGCUAUACCCCUCGGCUACAGCAGCCGCCGAGGUGGUGGCAGGAGAUUGCGCUUGGCAGGAACACAGCACAGCUGGGUGCGGCUCCUCCCACUCGGACGAUGUCGACCCUGCCUUCGUAGCUUGGUCCAUGGCGAGGAUGUGCUGGCCGCGUCAGACAAGAGAGGAUGGAGGGGGCACUAGCGAGGGUCUCAUCCAUGUCGGAGGAACUAGCUUGCCCUCAUCGGAGCACCAGCACUAGCAAGGAGCUCGCUCGCGCUGGAGCACCAGCUUGUUGGCACAGGCUCGGCCUCGACGCUGCGGUCCACCGUGUACUUUCCGGCGAGGCGCACGUACGAGACUAGCUCGAGUACUUUCCGAGCUAACCGGUUCAGUCGGAGAGAUAGAAGUAGACGUACACGGCAAGCUAAGGUCGCCGAAUCGCGUUGUACAAAGUACGCCGGAAAGUACGGGACUGUGCCAACAAUUGGUAUCAGACCUUUUCAGCCGCAGCUAUGAGCUACAGCCGCUCCUUCCAACUGGCCCCAAACAAACAGACCCCAAGGCUCCCUACCGCAUCUCUUUUUUUCUUGAGGCAGAGAUACGAUUCAUUUCAGUUCAGCUGGGAUGCCGACGCCGGGCUGUCGCGCCGCGCGCUUGUGGUGCCGCUGGGCCGAGCUCUGUACGGGCUAGAGUUUGCCCUGCCCGAGGACGCGUCGCCGCAAGGCUGCGGUCGCUAGGGGAGCCGGGAACUGCCGUCGCGACCGAUGUCACCAUCGCGUGAGGCACCAGGUCCGCACGACGGGGGCGCGGACGACUGCGCCGCCGCCGCCGGGGAGGGUGAGGCCACGUACCGCCGGAGGAGCAUCGUUGCCGCGCUUUGCAGAGGAUGGCUCCCGUCUCUCGUCCGACAUCAUUUAAGAGGUUUUCGCAUCCUUUUAGGAGCAAGCGCCAAAGACGAUUCAAGAUGCCUCUUAGUUGCUGAGUUUUGGGCAUCUGUUUCCUUCGGCUCUUCAUUCCCAGUCACAAGAGUAUUAGUUCGGACUACCGUUGAUGCAGCAACAUCUUUGCAGAAGUGUCCAUCGGCCUGUUUCUUAAAACCAUGGACAGCAGUAAGAUGUCUCGCCAGGUGAGAAGUGCCAUUUCUGGAGUCAGCUGCCAAAUCUUGGGUGCAGUGGAUGCAAUACGCCCGCACUCUGUCCUUAUCCACUCUGAAGUGCUGCCAUACUUUUGAUUCUCUUUUUGACCUUGCUGCGUUGGUCGGCUCUUGAGAGAAACCGUGUGGAAGAGCAUCUAUGCAUACUUGUGAUUUCCCUCUUGAUGUUUCUGCAAUGGCCGGCACUUGAGAAAAACCGUGUUGAACAACAUCUAUGCUUGCCGCGGCCUUUUUAUUUUCCAGUUGUACCAUGGGAUGCCUUCUUCCAGUGGUCUGGCCAUUCCAGUCCAUGGGCAUAUUCAGCAUUGUAGGCCAGGUAUCCAGCAUUUCGGUUGUCUCUCCAGAAAAUUUGUGUUCAACACCAUCUAUACUUGCUGCAGGUUUUCGCGUCCUUUUAGGAGGCAUUGUUCUUCUGUCAAGCUCCAAAGGCGAUUCAAGAUGCCUACUUCCUGACUGUUGGGCAUCUGUUUCCUUUGCCUCUUCAUUCUCAGUCCCAAGAAUAUUACCGACUAUCUUCGAUGCAGCAGAAUAUAUGCCUUCUACUCCGAUGUCCAGUUUCUCCUCCAAACAAUGGUGGGUCCAAAGAUGUCUCCAUAGAUGAGAAGUGCCAUCAUGUAUCUUUCGAUGAGCAAAUAAGCCUUGGCUGCAAUAGUUGCAAUAUGCCGCCCCUCCAUCGUUGUCCUUUCUGAAGUGCUGCCAUACCACUGACACUGCAGAAGGAGGAUGGAAUGGGUUUAUUUGCAUUCUCAAGAGAUCAACUUAUAAUUAGUGGGAAUUGGUUUCUAGCUUGUCAAAACAUAUAAUCUGAUUGAGUGAAUGCAUGAUUGGAGUAAUUGGAUUAUGUCCACAACUAAUUACUUUUGUGCAGCUGCGAGAAUAUUUGAGAAGAUCAGCGGAAGGGGUAAUAGCAGCAGUAUUGUGUGAAGGCGGCAGUUGACAGGUCUAGCUCGCUAAAGCAGCCUGAAGUUCCAAGCACUUGUUUCGAUUCAAUCGUUGCACUCUGGUGGCGGCAAUUUUUUCUUACAGUGCACCGUACUAUGUAGUCCUUUUUAAGUGAUGGUAAAAUGUAAUCUAGUGUGGUGGCCAUAUUAGUGAAGUGAAAUCUUCAUAACAGAAGGCAUGAAACAUAAUCGACCGAUUCCUAGUUAAAAGAGGCA